UACAUUCAGCUGUAGACAUCAUGUUGUAGUCUCCCUCCUCUUUAGCUAGGCUACAUUCAGCUGUAGAUGUCAUGUUGUAGUUUCCCUCUCUAGCUAGGCUACAUUCAACUGUAGACAUGUUGUAGUCUCCCUCCCCUCUAGCUAGGCUACAUUCAGCUGUAGACAUCAUGUUGUAGUCUCCCUCCUCUCUAGUUAGGCUACAUUCAGCUGUAGACGUCAUGUUGUAGUCUCCCUCUUUAGCUAGGCUACAUUCAGCUGUAGACGUCAUGUUGUAGUCUCCCUCCUCUUUAGCUAGGCUACAUUCAGCUGUAGACGUCAUGUUGUAGUCUCCCUCCUCCUUAGCUAGGCUACAUUCAGCUGUAGACAUCAUGUUGUAGUCUCCCUCCUCUCUAGCUAGGUUACAUUCAGCUGUAGACGCCAUGUUGUAGUCUCCCUCCUCUCUAGCUAGGUUACAUUCAGCUGUAGACAUCAUGUUGUAGUCUCCCUCCCCUUUAGCUAGGUUACAUUCAGCUGUAGACGUCAUGUUGUAGUCUCCCUCCUCUUUAGCUAGGCUACAUUCAGCUGUAGACGUCAUGUUGUAGUCUCCCUCCUCUCUAGUUAGGCUACAUUCAGCUGUAGACAUCAUGUUGUAGUCUCCCUCCUCUCUAGUUAGGCUACAUUCAGCUGUAGACAUCAUGUUGUAGUCUCCCUCCUCUCUAGUUAGGCUACAUUCAGCUGUAGACGUCAUGUUGUAGUCUCCUUCCUCUCUAGCUAGGCUACAUUCAGCUGUAGACGUCAUGUUGUAGUCUCCCUCCUCUCUAGCUAGGCUACAUUCAGCUGUAGACGUCAUGUUGUAGUCUCCCUCCUCUUUAGCUAGACUACAUUCAGCUGUAGACAUCAUAUUGUGGUCUCCCGCCACAAUCUCACCAGACCAUUCCUUCAUUCACAAUGACCAAGUUUUUCUCUCCCUCUGAGCGGGUAGAUAUUAAUUGACCAAUCAGAACGGCACUCGGUGCAUACACACACACAGCCUCCUUGUGCCCUGAUGGGGUGAUGUCAUGUGUAUUAUUAGCAAUUAGUGGCCUGUUAAUAAGUCCACUGGCUGCAGGGAUGGCUUAGUGUAUGUGACCAUGCCCAAUAGUAUUAGUGCUGGUAGACCAGGGCUACGCUGGACUACUGGAUGUGCAGUACUGAUCUACUCUUCUAGGAGAGGAGAGGGAGAAAGUAGAAGAGGAUGGGAUAGCUGACGAAAGGAGAGAAGGGGAUGGAGUAGAGGGAGUGUUUGAGAUGGUGACUUGGGAGAGGAGUGUGAAAAGGAAGACUGGAGAAGAGGGAAGGAGGAGGGUGGCACUUAACUGUUCCCCAGAGAGCUCUAGAGGUUCAUAACUGAUGAGUUCUCGAUGAGAGGGCUUAGGAUGACCAGGAGGGGGAUGACCCAACCAUCUGAAACCCUUAACAUAGAGAGGGUUAUACUCACUGUUGACCUAGUAAUACUAUACGGACGACUGACAGUAUCAGGACAGACAUACCUCUAACAUCAGUCCUCAUUGGAUGUUUCCUCAACGGAACGCCCCCUAUGACAAAUUACUAUUAGUCUCGUUACUGCACAGUCAAACUGACAUAUUUGUGUUCAUAAAGUAGCAAAAAACAAUGCACUGCUUACAUCAGAUUCUCUAUUUAGAGGUUUGGGAAUCGUGGUCUGUUGGUAUAGCAUUGUCCAACAGGCUUUAUGGAGCCAGUGAAGCAUAGCUAAUGCACUUCUUACAUGCCUACUGUAAUAGUUCAUUAGCAUUUGGCUCUCAUCGCGGGAAUACACUACAGAUAGGCUGGAAGCAGGGUGACUUCAAUCAUGAUAAAAAUUAAUGAAUGGUAGUUGCCUAUAGUGCUUUAGUCUUGAGAGGAGUUGGGAGAAUAGAACACCAUAUAGCUGCUUCAAAUUCCUGGUGGGCUGAUAUAAACGUUGUGUCCUUGAAAGCACUAGAGCUUUGUUUACUAAAGAAAGUCCAAGUGUAGUGGUUCAGGUUUAACCUUGAGAAUACAUUUGGAGUGGAGGUACUUUUCUGAAACAGACUAUAGAGUCAAGAGAAAAGCCUGUCUUUACCAAAGACCCAACAACACUGUUGCUGGAGUAAGACCGACAGGGGAAUUGAAUGUACACAGGUGAUGCCCCUCCCCUCACACAUGAUGAUGACAUCGUCUUUAAAUGGCCCCAUGUAAAUAACCUAACAUUUGUCUUAUUCCUGAUGCUGCCACAGCUGUUGCAAGUAUACUAGAGGUAUCUUCACUUCUGCACGUUUUAAUAUUUUCUUUAAUAGUUUAUUACUAUGUAUGGUGACUAAGUGUCCAUUACAAGUGCAAAAUAAAGUUGUCCACAGAUACUUUAUCUGACCUCACCGUAUGGAUACUGUAAUACUGGUCAACCUGUUCUGAAUCAGUACUCGGGAAUGAGUGUCCUUGUUUUCAACUUCAGUUGUCUGGUUUUCCCUCAUGCCUGCCCGUUGAUUUCCAGCAUGAUGGCCCUCUUGGAGUUUUUCUAGGAUUUGUUUUAUUGAGACACAUUCUUACAUGCAAUGACUAACUUCUUGUAGCAGCGUUAUAGAAAAUGAACAAGCACAAGUCCACAUGCUGGUGAGUAGCCCGCUAAUCUUUAUAUUUAAAGUCCAGCCAACUUGGAUCUAUUUGCUUGCGAACAAGGUAGAACAGUUGAACUGUUAUGAAUACACCCUCCAGUCCGUCAACUGUUUGAACAACAGCUUGUUCACCUUGUUAAGAUAUUGUUCAUGUGACCUACCUGAAUAGAAAUUGUACUUAUUUCUCAGAAUGAGAACAAGUUGCCAAUUUCUUAUGAAUGUGGAUUUUUAUGCUCAUUGCACAUUUAUAAAACAGAAACUGAACAGCUAGCACAUACGUCUAUGGCUAAAAUGCUGCUAGCGGUAGGCCUACGUGGUACCGCAAUGCCGCGUACGACAAACGUUUGUUUUUUUGUUCAUUGUCUUGGUUUCAGUUCAAUUAUAUUUAAAAAAUGAUCAGUUCUCUGUUUCAAAAUUUUUUUAAAUUCCCUAUGGAUUAUGUGAGUUCAAUGCUGGAACACUGAAUAAAACAUUUAAUCAAAGUCCCAUGAUGGUAGUGACUGUCCAUUACUGCUUAUCACUUAUUGACCAUCAUUUAUUCACAUUACUUUAAUCAAAUUAUUUUAUUUAACUUUCAAGUCAUCUCAUCUGUAUACAGCUGCUGCCUAUGCUGUCUGACAAAAUCACUAUUUUAGUAGUUCUUCAAAGUAAAUAAGGCAUACCUUUAUGAAUACCAACUAUCAAUCAGGUAUCAGCUAUUUUCAGGCUUGCGAAGCAACUGCUUUCUAUCCUCCUCGAUAUUCUCUCAGUCUCCGUGUCUGCUCCGCACAGACCGGACAAGUUUAUGCAGGUGCGCAAUGGGUUAUGGUCAAUGUAGUUAAUUACCACAUUUUCUGUGCUAAACUAUGUAGAGUAUUGGCCUGUAGGAAACUACAACUCCCACCCCUCCUUCCCAUGUCAACUCCCACAUCGCACUGUUCCGGCUUCAUCUGAUUUAUCUUGACAAACUGUACAUCGAGCUCACAGGAAAAACGGAACAAAAUGAAUUCAAAUAAUUGAACCAAUGUCAGAAAAUGGCUCCGCACUAAUUGUGAGAUGUGCAAUGUCAUUUUGUCCCGAUAUUUUAUUUAUUAAAAUAAGAUACCUCAAGUCAAUUAAGAGUCAAUUAAAAUAAAUGUAUUUUAACACACUAAUCUUCAGGGGGUGUAGAGGGUGUUUUGCAGACAGUGGAGCAAAACACUUCUGUUUAUAUUGAAUAACCACAACAAAAUAUUCUGCCCACUUAUUUCUCUUAAAAUGAGUUUGUCUAAGGAUAGCCAGUAUUCACAUAUCUAAAUCUUACCAAACGUUGCUUUUAUCUGUCCGUAAAUAGACGAUUUCCUCAGUUACCCUACUCUCGUUUUGGUUGGGUCGUUUUGGUUGGGUCGUUUUAGUAGGGUCGUUUUGUUAAGGUCAUUUUAGUAGGGUCGUUUUGGUUGGGUCGUUUUAGUAGGGUCUGCUCUGUUGGGAGAUGAGACAUAAAAACGGUAUCGUUAGAAAGGGUACGUUUUCAUCUAGUACAGUAAAAUAAUGUCUUAAGAGUUUCGGUGUCCAUAUGACCAUUUUUAUUUAAUUUAUCAUUAUUUUUUAUUCUAUUGGGCCAAACCUGAAAUGCAGAAGGAGAGUUGAAACUGCUUGCCAAAGAGGAAGAAGUGAUCUUUCGUCUUUGUUGUUGUGAGCGGUAGGGUGAGAGGCUUGGUGUCUGUGUGAUUGGCAAGGUGCACAGUGCACACAGCGCAUAAGGAGCGAAGGGGAAGAGACCAAAAAGACGGAGCACUCAUAAAAACAAAAUUGUAUUUUCUUUCGAUAGUCAUUUGGAACAUUGUACUAAAACAUUACAUUCUGAUGAAUCUAAUCAAUGCAAUAUAUUGCCCAGCCCUACAUGCAGUGUGUGUCAGUGUGAGACUGAGUGCUUUGUUGCCUGUCUCUACCUCAGUGCCUCGGGCAAUUUAAUUUCCUCCCCUCCACAUUUUCAUCUUGUUUUUACUGCUGAUGCUCUGAUCCCAGUGUUAGUUUGAGGUCUCCGUGUCUCUCCUGGGAUCCAGGUGUUCUGCAUUACAGGUUUAGUGGCUAAUACAGUAUGUUCAAGAUGUAUUCUAGCUACACAGCCUUGGCAUUCGUGGGCUCUAUACAAGGAUCCCCAGCCGAGCUGCUAGACGAUUCGCAGUCCAUCUGGUUCUGUUUUUCUCUUCUUUCAUUACAAUUGGAAUCCUUUCAUUUUUAGUUUGGCCCUCCCUCCCAAUCCUUGUUUACUCUGCCUCUGUGCUUCUCCUGUGUGGCUAGUUGUCUGUUGGCUCCACCUUGACUCCAUCUCCUGCCUUCUCCUCGUCGCUCUGUGUCGGAGGGAAGUGGGAGAGACAGACGGGGGGUAGGGGAGGUGCUGGAAGGUAGCGCUGGGGGCUGUUGCUGAGCCCAGGGCAGAGCUCUCUCUUGGUCUGUGUUGACACAGCAGGUGUUGAUUUGACUCCACAGUAGGGCUUUGUUUGUUCCAUGCCAUACCACAGCUCAGCAGCAUGGACAUGAAAGGGCAAAAACAAGCCAGAGCCAGGCACUGCACUCUGAGGGAGACUCACUCUCCCUCAGUAUCGGUUGUUUUAGUGAACAAAUACAGGGUGCCUGUUUGCAGUCUCGCAAUAACAGCUUGGAUUAUUUUUCCAGGCUUGAUUUCUUGUACAUGUAGCUGCCUCACUAAUUCUCUUUCUCUUCCUUGAUUUAUUUCUCUCUCCCUCCUUC